AGACCCGAAACCCGGUGAUCUAGCCAUGGGCAGGUUGAAGGUUGGGUAACACUAACUGGAGGACCGAACCGACUAAUGUUGAAAAAUUAGCGGAUGACCUGUGGCUGGGGGUGAAAGGCCAAUCAAACCGGGAGAUAGCUGGUUCUCCCCGAAAGCUAUUUAGGUAGCGCCUCGUGAAUUCAUCUCCGGGGGUAGAGCACUGUUUCGGCUAGGGGGCCAUCCCGGCUUACCAACCCGAUGCAAACUGCGAAUACCGGAGAAUGUUAUCACGGGAGACACACGGCGGGUGCUAACGUCCGUCGUGAAGAGGGAAACAACCCAGACCGCCAGCUAAGGUCCCAAAGUCAUGGUUAAGUGGGAAACGAUGUGGGAAGGCCCAGACAGCCAGGAUGUUGGCUUAGAAGCAGCCAUCAUUUAAAGAAAGCGUAAUAGCUCACUGGUCGAGUCGGCCUGCGCGGAAGAUGUAACGGGGCUAAACCAUGCACCGAAGCUGCGGCAGCGACGCUUAUGCGUUGUUGGGUAGGGGAGCGUUCUGUAAGCCUGCGAAGGUGGCCUGUGAGGGUUGCUGGAGGUAUCAGAAGUGCGAAUGCUGACAUAAGUAACGAUAAAGCGGGUGAAAAGCCCGCUCGCCGGAAGACCAAGGGUUCCUGUCCAACGUUAAUCGGGGCAGGGUGAGUCGACCCCUAAGGCGAGGCCGAAAGGCGUAGUCGAUGGGAAACGGGUUAAUAUUCCCGUACUUGGUGUUACUGCGAAGGGGGGACGGAGAAGGCUAUGUUGGCCGGGCGACGGUUGUCCCGGUUUAAGCGUGUAGGUGUGUGUUCCAGGUAAAUCCGGUUCACUUUAACACUGAGGCGUGACGACGAGGCACUACGGUGCUGAAGCAACAAAUGCCCUGCUUCCAGGAAAAGCCUCUAAGCAUCAGGUAACAUCAAAUCGUACCCCAAACCGACACAGGUGGUCAGGUAGAGAAUACCAAGGCGCUUGAGAGAACUCGGGUGAAGGAACUAGGCAAAAUGGUGCCGUAACUUCGGGAGAAGGCACGCUGACACGUAGGUGAAGUGAUUUACUCAUGGAGCUGAAGUCAGUCGAAGAUACCAGCUGGCUGCAACUGUUUAUUAAAAACACAGCACUGUGCAAACACGAAAGUGGACGUAUACGGUGUGACGCCUGCCCGGUGCCGGAAGGUUAAUUGAUGGGGUCAGCGCAAGCGAAGCUCCUGAUCGAAGCCCCGGUAAACGGCGGCCGUAACUAUAACGGUCCUAAGGUAGCGAAAUUCCUUGUCGGGUAAGUUCCGACCUGCACGAAUGGCGUAAUGAUGGCCAGGCUGUCUCCACCCGAGACUCAGUGAAAUUGAACUCGCUGUGAAGAUGCAGUGUACCCGCGGCAAGACGGAAAGACCCCGUGAACCUUUACUAUAGCUUGACACUGAACAUUGAGCCUUGAUGUGUAGGAUAGGUGGGAGGCUUUGAAGUGUGGACGCCAGUCUGCAUGGAGCCGACCUUGAAAUACCACCCUUUAAUGUUUGAUGUUCUAACGUGGACCCGUGA
rnacentral:rRNA from 1 species